AUGCGUGCAUGGUUCCUGAGGCCAAUUAUUUGGGCCGGCCGAUCCAAAACCCGGUGGACGCAUUUGUACGUGCAUUGCACCGGAGAUGAUGGUACAAUAUCGAGUGACCGAUCUCACUGUCACGGGACAGUGGAAAAUCAUCGGGCGCGAUUGGCGAAGCUGAUUGGCUGGCUGACGGCCCCGACCGAUCCAAAUCAAAAAAAGCUGAGUGCGAAAGGGAAUUCAACGCAGCGUACCGAACAUAAGCGGCUCAGCACGAUCCCCGCCAUUUAUCUGUUGCGAACCGUGACGUGCUUGACUCACAAGACAUUAUCGCAACCUCAUUUCAGUUUUCUUUCUGCGGCGGUCAUUUCAGUUGAAAAGACGGAGGAUUUUUCUUCCGAAUCUUUUCUCGUGGAAAUAGUAGUAUUUCCUUCCGAUUCUGCGGGAAUGGUAAUCCCGGAGGAGGAUCAGCUCGCCGAUCGGGUUGCCGUGCCUGCACGACUGCGGCCGGCCGGUCGAACCGACCCCGACCCGACGCGAGCCCCGCCCGGCCGGUCCCGAUCAGUCCGUGCACCGAAUUGGGAUGGGAAUCGAUCUCCUGGUACGUACGCCACUGCACUACGUCCCCUCCCCAUCGACGCAGUUACGGCCGCGACCAGUCUUGGACGCGCGAGACAGGGACGCCAGAGACGGCGACCGACGCGGUCACGGACGCUGCGGCUCAGCCGUUCGGGUUCAGCGGACGGACGCGCGGCCGCCAGGUCCGGUGCCCCGCCCUCCAGGAUGCCUCCGGCGACCCGUGUACUACCCGUGGGUGCCGGCCGGCUGCGAUGGAUGUGGAGGGUCUUGACCACUAGGCACACCAGUGGGCAGCGGCUGCUUGCUUUGCGUAAUUGCUCGGCGUGGCCAAAGUCUCGGUGGAACGCACCUAACCAUUUCUCGCCCGGGUGUCGCCGGUCGAUGAAAGUUGCUUGA
rnacentral:rRNA from 1 species